AAAAAGGGUCCUGUGGCUUUUUAAGAGCACCAUUGGACCCUAAUCACUAUGCGGUUAGGAAAUCCAAACUGAUUCCCACAGAGACUACAUGGGAGGAAUUGGGCCCCCCUACCUACAGUCGGUCGUGGCCACCAGAGCUAGAUUCAAGCCAGCUGGGUGAAGGGAGAUUCUGGACUGGGUUCACAUCUGGACAUCUGCAAACCCCCAGACUAAGUUCCUCCCACCCCUGUACCCCGGCCGGCAGGUCUUGCUCUGGAGUGCACUUGGGCAGGCCUCUCCUCUCCAUCUUCCUCAUCGAAACCAG
rnacentral:lncRNA from 1 species